rnacentral:tRNA from 1 species
AGCCCUGUAGUGAAGUACCACGUUGGAUUGCAAAUCCAGAGGCGCAGACUAAUACCCUGCCGGGGCUU